GUGCUUGCUUCGGCAGCACAUACACUAAAAUUGGAAGGAUACAGAGAAGAUUACCAUGGCCCCUAUGCAAGAAUGACAUGCAAAUCUGUGAAGCCUUCCAUAAAUUU
ensembl:snRNA U6 U6 spliceosomal RNA